AUUGAACGCUGGCGGCAUGCCUUACACAUGCAAGUCGAACGGCAGCACGGGAGCAAUCCUGGUGGCGAGUGGCGAACGGGUGAGUAAUAUAUCGGAACGUGCCCAGUCGUGGGGAUAACGUAGCGAAAGCUACGCUAAUACCGCAUACGAUCUAUGGAUGAAAGCGGGGGAUCGCAAGACCUCGCGCGAUUGGAGCGGCCGAUAUCAGAUUAGGUAGUUGGUGAGGUAAAGGCUCACCAAGCCAACGAUCUGUAGCUGGUCUGAGAGGACGACCAGCCACACUGGAACUGAGACACGGUCCAGACUCCUACGGGAGGCAGCAGUGGGGAAUUUUGGACAAUGGACGCAAGUCUGAUCCAGCCAUUCCGCGUGCAGGAUGAAGGCCUUCGGGUU
rnacentral:rRNA from 1 species